rnacentral:rRNA from 1 species
GUGUCAGCCGCCGCGGUAAGACGAACCGUGCGAACGUUAUUCGGAAUCACUGGGCUUAAAGGGCGCGUAGGCGGGUUGCCAAGUCUGUGGUGAAAUCCUCCAGCUUAACUGGAGAACGGCCGUGGAUACUGGCGACCUCGAGGGGGGUAGGGGCUUGCGGAACUGUGCGUGGAGCGGUGAAAUGCGUUGAUAUGCACAGGAACUCCGGUGGCGAAGGCGGCGAGCUGGACCCUUUCUGACGCUGAGGCGCGAAAGCCAGGGGAGCGAACGGGAUUAGAUACCCCCGUAGUCC